UCGAGGGGCAGCGGGGGUGCAGGCUUGCCUGCACCUGCCGGCGACCGGCGCACGGGUGAGUAACACGUAUGGAACCUGCCCGCCACAGGGGGAUAACCCGGGGAAACCCGGCCUAAUACCCCAUGCCGCCCGGACCGGGCAUCCGGACCGGGCGAAAGGAGGAAUCCGGUGGCGGCUGGGCAUGCGGCGCAUUAGCUUGACGGCGGGGUAACGGCCCACCGUGGCGACGAUGCGUAGGGGUUCUGAGAGGAAGGCCCCCCACACUGGGAUUGAGACACGGCCCAGACUCCUACGGAAGGCAGCAGUGAGGAAUAUUGGUCAAUGGGCGGAAGCCUGAACCAGCCAAGUCGCGUGAGGGAAUAAGGCCCUACGGGUCGUAAACCUCUUUUGCCGGGGAGCAAGGGCUGGGACGAGUCCCGGCCCGGAGAGUACCCGGAGAAAAAGCAUCGGCUAACUCCGUGCCAGCAGCCGCGGUAAUACGGAGGAUGCGAGCGUUAUCCGGAUUUAUUGGGUUUAAAGGGUGCGUAGGCGGGCUUUUAAGUCAGCGGUAAAAAUUCGGGGCUCAACCCCGUCCGGCCGUUGAAACUGGGGGCCUUGAGUGGGCGAGAAGAAGGCGGAAUGCGUGGUGUAGCGGUGAAAUGCAUAGAUAUCACGCAGAACCCCGAUUGCGAAGGCAGCCUUCCGGCGCCCUACUGACGCUGAGGCACGAAAGUGCGGGGAU
rnacentral:rRNA from 1 species